UUGCUAAUCUGAUGGCGAGUGGCGAACGGGUGAGUAAUAUAUCGGAACCUGCCUAGUAGUGGGGAACAACCAGCCGAAAGGUUGGCUAAUACCGCAUACGACCUACGGGUGAAAGCAGGGGAUCUUCGGACCUUGCGCUAUUAGAGCGGCCGAUAUCUGAUUAGGUAGUUGGUGGGGUAAAGGCCUACCAAGCCGACGAUCAGUAGCUGGUCUGAGAGGACGAUCAGCCACACUGGAACUGAGACACGGUCCAGACUCCUACGGGAGGCAGCAGUGGGGAAUUUUGGACAAUGGGGGAAACCCUGAUCCAGCCAUUCCGCGUGAGUGAAGAAGGCCUUCGGGUUGUAAAGCUCUUUCGCAAGGGAAGAAAUUUUAUUGUCGAAUAAACAGUAAAGAUGACGGUACCUUGAGAAGAAGCACCGGCUAACUACGUGCCAGCAGCCGCGGUAAUACGUAGGGUGCGAGCGUUAAUCGGAAUUACUGGGCGUAAAGCGUGCGCAGGCGGUCUUAUAAGUCAGAUGUGAAAUCCCCGAGCUCAACUUGGGAACUGCGUUUGAAACUGUAAGACUAGAGUGUGUCAGAGGGAGGUAGAAUUCCACGUGUAGCAGUGAAAUGCGUAGAGAUGUGGAGGAAUACCAAUGGCGAAGGCAGCCUCCUGGGAUAACACUGACGCUCAUUCACGAAAGCGUGGGGAGCAAACAGGAUUAGAUACCCUGGUAG
rnacentral:rRNA from 1 species